GCGGGGGCAACCCUGGCGACGAGUGGCGAACGGGUGAGUAAUGCAUCGGAACGUGCCCAGUAGUGGGGGAUAGCCCGGCGAAAGCCGGAUUAAUACCGCAUACGACCUGAGGGUGAAAGCGGGGGAUCGCAAGACCUCGCGCUAUUGGAGCGGCCGAUGUCAGAUUAGGUAGUUGGUGGGGUAAAGGCCUACCAAGCCUGCGAUCUGUAGCUGGUCUGAGAGGACGACCAGCCACACUGGGACUGAGACACGGCCCAGACUCCUACGGGAGGCAGCAGUGGGGAAUUUUGGACAAUGGGCGCAAGCCUGAUCCAGCCAUGCCGCGUGCGGGAAGAAGGCCUUCGGGUUGUAAACCGCUUUUGUUCGGGAAGAAAUCCCCUGGGUUAAUACCUCGGGGGGAUGACGGUACCGGAAGAAUAAGCACCGGCUAACUACGUGCCAGCAGCCGCGGUAAUACGUAGGGUGCAAGCGUUAAUCGGAAUUACUGGGCGUAAAGCGUGCGCAGGCGGUUGUGCAAGACAGAUGUGAAAUCCCCGGGCUUAACCUGGGAACUGCAUUUGUGACUGCACGGCUAGAGUGCGGCAGAGGGGGAUGGAAUUCCGCGUGUAGCAGUGAAAUGCGUAGAUAUGCGGAGGAACACCGAUGGCGAAAGCAAUCCCCUGGGCCUGCACUGACGCUCAUGCAC
rnacentral:rRNA from 1 species